rnacentral:rRNA from 1 species
UACGUAGGGGGCUAGCGUUGUCCGGAAUCAUUGGGCGUAAAGAGCGUGUAGGCGGUCCGGUAAGUCCGCUGUGAAAGUCGGGGGCUCAACCCUCGAAUGCCGGUGGAUACUGUCGGGCUAGAGUGCGGAAGAGGCGAGUGGAAUCCUGGUGUAGCGGUGAAAUGCGCAGAUAUCAGGAGGAACACCUAUUGCGAAGGCAGCUCGCUGGGACGGUACUGACGCUGGAGACGCGAAAGCGUGGGGAGCGAACAGG